rnacentral:misc_RNA from 1 species
GCAAACUUGGUCAUUUAGAGGAAGUAAAAGUCGUAACAAGGUUUCCGUAGGUUAGUAAAACCCAUAAGACUCCUUUUUUAAAGACUCGACGCUAACAGUUCUCUAGGUGAACCUGCGGAAGGAUCAUUAUAGAGUAUCGGGACUUCGGUUCCUACUCCAACCCUAUGUGUAUCGAAUUUGUUGCCUUGGUGAGCCUUCAGGUAAUGCUGAUAUCGGCUUCUGCUGAUGAGUGCCACCAAAGGAAUUUUAAUUCUAUCAAUUUUGAAAUCUGAGAAAACCAAAAUGAAAUAAAACUUUCAACAACGGAUCUCUUGGUUCUGGCAUCGAUGAAGAACGCAGC